rnacentral:rRNA from 1 species
CCCUUAGAUGUUCUGGGCCGCACGCGCGCUACACUGACGGAGGCAGCGAGCGUGUCCUUCGCCGGCAGGUGCGGGCAAUCUUGCGAGUCUCCGUCGUGCUGGGGAUAGAUGGUUGCAAUUGUCGAUCUUGAACGAGGAAUUCCUAGUAAGCGCGAGUCAUCAGCUCGCGCUGAAUACGUCCCUGCCCUUUGUACACACCGCCCGUCGCUCCUACCGAUUGAGUGGUCCGGUGAGGCUUUGGGAUCUGAGCGGAAAGAGCGUUUCGCUGUUUCUGCUCGGAAAACUCAGUCGAACCUUAUCAUUUAGAGGAAGGAGAAGUCGUAACA